rnacentral:rRNA from 1 species
UGAGUGCGAGCUGCUACGGCAGCGAAGUUGGUGACGUCAUGCUUCCAAGAAAAGCCCUACACCCGUUAAGGCAUCAUGGCCUGUACCCGAAACCGACACAGGUGGGGUGGUAGAGAAUACCGAGGGGCGCGAGGUAACUCUCUCUAAGGAACUCGGCAAAAUGGCCCCGUAACUUCGGGAGAAGGGGUGCCACCGCAAGGUGGUCGCAGUGAAGAGGCCCAGGCGACUGUUUACCAAAAACACAGGUCUCCGCUAAGUCGCAAGACGAUGUAUGGGGGCUGACGCCUGCCCAGUGCCGGAAGGUUAAGGAAGCUGGUCAGCGCAAGCGAAGCUGGCGACUGAAGCCCCGGUGAACGGCGGCCGUAACUAUAACGGUCCUAAGGUAGCGAAAUUCCUUGUCGGGUAAGUUCCGACCCGCACGAAAGGCGUAACGAUCUGGGCGCUGUCUCGGAGAGAGGCUCGGCGAAAUAGAAUUGUCUGUGAAGAUGCGGACUACGUGCACCCGGACAGAAAGACCCUAUGAAGCUUUACUGUAGCUUGGUAUUGUGCCCGGGCUCGCAAUGCGCAGGAUAGGUGGGAGGCUUUGAUCAUCGGCUUGCGGGUCGAUGUGAGCCAACGGUGAGAUACCACUCUUUGCGAGCUAGGGUUCUAACGGCCACCCGUCAUCCGGGGGCCGGACAGUACCUGGUGGGCAGUUUGACUGGGGCGGUCGCCUCCUAAAAGGUAACGGAGGCGCGCAAAGGUUUGCUCAGGCUGGUUGGAAAUCAGCCGACGAGUGUAAAAGCAGAAGCAAGCUUGACUGUGAGACCAACAAGUCGAACAGGGAGGAAACUCGGCUUUAGUGAUCCGACGGUUCUGAGUGGAAGGGCCGUCGCUCAACGGAUAAAAGUUACUCUAAGGAUAACAGGCUGAUCUCCCCCAAGAGUUCACAUCGACGGGGAGGUUUGGCACCUCGAUGUCGGCUCAUCGCAACCUGGGGCUGAAGUCGGUCCCAAGGGUUGGGCUGUUCGCCCAUUAAAGCGGUACGCGAGCUGGGUUCAGAACGUCGUGAGACAGUUCGGUCCAUAUCCGGUGCACGCGCAGGAAUAUUGAGAGGAUUUCUCCCUAGUACGAGAGGACCGGGAGGAACGCACCUCUGGUGUACCAGUUAUCGUGCCAACGGUAAACGCUGGGUAGCCAUGUGCGGAGUGGAUAACCGCUGAAAGCAUCUAAGUGGGAAGCCCACCUCAAGAUGAGUAUUCCCAUGGCGUAAGCCAGUAAGGUCACGGGAAGAACACCCGUUGAUAGGCUCUAUGUGGAAGCGCAGUAAUGCGUGAAGCAGAGGAGUACUAAUAGACC